rnacentral:rRNA from 1 species
UACGAAGGGGGCUAGCGUUGUUCGGAAUCACUGGGCGUAAAGCGCACGUAGGCGGAUUUGUAAGUCAGGGGUGAAAUCCCGGGGCUCAACCUCGGAACUGCCUUUGAUACUGCGAAUCUUGAGUCCGAUAGAGGUGGGUGGAAUUCCUAGUGUAGAGGUGAAAUUCGUAGAUAUUAGGAAGAACACCAGUGGCGAAGGCGGCCCACUGGAUCGGUACUGACGCUGAGGUGCGAAAGCGUGGGGAGCAAACAGG